UACGUAGGGUGCAAGCGUUGUCCGGAAUUAUUGGGCGUAAAGAGCUCGUAGGCGGUUUGUCGCGUCUGCUGUGAAACUCGGGGCUUAACCCCGGGCCUGCAGUGGGUACGGGCAGACUAGAGUGCGGUAGGGGAGACUGGAAUUCCUGGUGUAGCGGUGAAAUGCGCAGAUAUCAGGAGGAACACCGGUGGCGAAGGCGGGUCUCUGGGCAGUAACUGACGCUGAGGAGCGAAAGCGUGGGGAGCAAACAGG
rnacentral:rRNA from 1 species